GUUAGCAGAUGUGACGGAAACAGGAGCUUGAAAUGUGCUUUAGGCAUGCAGUUGGGCAUACUCUCCUGUGCCUCUGCCAACUUCAUGAAAAGAACUUCCUUUGGAAGCUGUUGGCCCUUCGGCUUGGGUCCCAUAAUGAGAGAUAUGGACCUGACCUGAGCUGGUUGGAUCUGCAGAGCUGACUAACCAAGCCUGACCUACAUCAGCUGACUUCCAACUGACCUGCAGGGGCCAUGGAAUUGCAGACUAGGAAGGGCCUUUAGAAGUUAUCUUGUUCAGGCAGACCAAAGUCACCCCAUCACUCCUUGAAUAGAUAACUCAAGGACGGGCACAGACACUAAGAAGUGGCUGAAAUCCUUGUGUCCAGAUGAGCACACACCUGGUGGCGAGGGCGGCCCACGAUGGAAGGAAAAACAGCUCGGGGGGCGUC